rnacentral:rRNA from 1 species
AAAUGAAUUGACGGGGACUCGCACAAGCGGUGGAGCAUGCGGAUUAAUUCGAUGCAACGCGAAGAACCUUACCAGGUCUUGACAUCCCACUGACCGGCUUAGAGAUAAGCCUUCCCUUCGGGGCAGUGGUGACAGGUGGUGCAUGGUUGUCGUCAGCUCGUGUCGUGAGAUGUUGGGUUAAGUCCCACAACGAGCGCAACCCUUAUCAUUAGUUGCUAACAUUAAGUUGAGAACUCUAAUGAGACCGCCGGUGAUAAACCGGAUGAAGGUGGGGAUGACGUCAAAUCAUCAUGCCCCUUAUGACCUGGGCUUCACGCGUGCUACAAUGGCUAGUACAAAGAGUUGCAAAACCGCGAGGUUAAGCUAAUCUCAUAAAACUAGUCUCAGUUCGGAUUGUAGUCUGCAACUCGACUACAUGAAGUUGGAAUCGCUAGUAAUCGCAAAUCAGAAUGUUGCGGUGAAUACGUUCUCGAGUCUUGUACACACCGCCCGU